rnacentral:rRNA from 1 species
AUUGAAUGCUGGCGGCAUGCCUUACACAUGCAAGUCGAACGGCAGCAUGGGUGCUUGCACCUGAUGGCGAGUGGCGAACGGGUGAGUAAUGCAUCGGAACGUACCCGGAAGUGGGGGAUAACGUAGCGAAAGUUACGCUAAUACCGCAUAUUCUGUGAGCAGGAAAGUGGGGGAUCGCAAGACCUCGCGCUUCCGGAGCGGCCGAUGUCGGAUUAGCUAGUUGGCGGGGUAAAGGCCCACCAAGGCAACGAUCCGUAGCGGGUCUGAGAGGAUGAUCCGCAACACUGGGACUGAGACACGGCCCAGACUCCUACGGGAGGCAGCAGUGGGGAAUUUUGGACAAUGGGGGCAACCCUGAUCCAGCCAUGCCGCGUGAGUGAAGAAGGCCUUCGGGUUGUAAAGCUCUUUCGGCCGGGAAGAAAUCGCACAGGUUAAUACCUUGUGUGGAUGACGGUACCGGAAUAAGAAGCACCGGCUAACUACGUGCCAGCCGCCGCAGUAAUAC